GACGAACGCUGGCGGCGUGCUUAACACAUGCAAGUCGAACGGAAAGGCCUCUUUCGGGGGGUACUCGAGUGGCGAACGGGUGAGUAACACGUGAGUAACCUGCCUUUGUAUUUGGGAUAACUUCAGGAAACUGGGGCUAAUAACGGAUAGGAGCUCUUGCUGCCUGGAGGGGGUUGGAAAGUUUGGGCGGUUGGGGAUGGACUCGCGGUCUAUCAGCUUGUUGGUGGGGUAGUGGCUUACCAAGGCUUUGACGGGUCGCCGGCCUGAGAGGGUGCCCGGCCACAGUGGGACUGAGAGACGGCCCAGACUCCUACGGGAGGCAGCAGUGGGGAAUAUUGCACAAUGGGUGGAAGCCUGAUGCAGCAACGCCGUGUGCGGGAUGACGGCCUUCGGGUUGUAAACCGCUUUCGCUCAUGACGAAGCUUUGUGUGACGGUAGUGGGUAAAGAAGCACCGGCUAACUACGUG
rnacentral:rRNA from 1 species